UGGGGAAUAUUGGGCAAUGGGCGCAAGCCUGACCCAGCGACGCCGCGUGGGUGAUGAAGGCCUUCGGGUUGUAAAGCCCUGUCAUGUGGAAAGAACAGUCCCGUGGUGAAUAUCCACGGGAUUUGACGGUACCACAGGAGGAAGCACCGGCUAACUUCGUGCCAGCAGCCGCGGUAAUACGGCGGGUGCAAGCGUUGUUCGGAAUUAUUGGGCGUAAAGGGCGCGUAGGUGGUUGUGAAAGUCAGAUGUGAAAUACUUCGGCUCAACUGAAGAACUGCAUCUGAAACUUCAUAACUCGAGUACAGGAGAGUGAAACGGAAUUCCCGGUGUAGAGGUGAAAUUCGUAGAUAUCGGGAGGAACACCAGUGGCGAAGGCGGUUGCGUGGCCUGAUACUGACGCUGAGGCGCGAAAGCGUGAGGAGCAAGCA
rnacentral:rRNA from 1 species